UUUGUUGCUUAAGCAGAUACAUGACUUUGAAAUCAUCACAAAGCACAACAGGAUCAGAUAUAAUAUGAGGUAUACAUGAUUAAGAUUUGUACUGCACGAUUAAAAGUCUACAGGAAUGGUUUAAGUGGUGUUUUUAAGGAUCACUAUUGGUCAGCUCUGACUGAAUGCAGCAAAAACUGCACUGAACAUGAUCAAACAGACGGUCAAGGACACAAAUGUGAACGCGUCCCUGAAUGGAUUACAGGAUCAGCCAGGCAACUCUGUAGUGUGUGUUCAGUGCGAUGAACCUCCCAAAACACAGGUAGAUGCGGUUGAUUUUCCCAAAAGCAAACGGCGUUUUGAAAUCCUGAUGAGGUGGAAACGUGCAUUUUUCUUCUUUGCUAUUUCAAAAGUUGCCGCAGGCAAAAUCAGACAUUCACAGGGAAGCAAAGUCUGCUCACUGCAGGAGCAUUUAGGACACAUUCUGGUGCCAGUAUGGCGCAAAACUCCCGCUAAACUCGGAUCUAGACAUACAUUUUGUGGUCAGAAUGGACGGAUGCAAUAUUUAUAAAGAACCUGGUUUAGCUUCUCGUUAUCAUUAUUCCUAUAUGUAAGAAUUUAAAUAGUAAGAAUAAGAGAAAAGAUGAAAAGUAGCCUGAUUUCAGCAGCACAGAGGAUUUGAUUUCUUCUUUCUUUUUUGUUUUAGAGUGGUUGGCAUCAACAAAGUUCUUGUUUUGAGAUCUUUGAGACAAAGUUUAUUAGAGUGCAUCAUCACAGUUUGAUGGUGACGGCUGCUUUAUUAAAGUGAUUAAUUGCCUUCAUGCAUGAAUUACACAUCAAUAAGAGUCUAAUUUUCCACAUGAUUCAUGCUGAUGAAGACACAGAAAAAUAGAAAUGCAUGGCACAAAUACCAUAUUGUCAAAGUUUUACACCCUGUAGUUUGCAUCCUGGAUACGUCCACUUUCAGCUGCCACAUUCAAAAAGCAACUUUAUUAAUAUGAGGCCACUUGGUAGUAAGGAAAACUUUAUGGACGGUUUAGUCAUUGCAACUGCUGAAUUUUUUUUUUAACAGAAAACAAAGACAAGAGAUUAGAAUAAGACACUGGAGAGCAAAACGUUUGGGUUGCCAGGUUGUGAAAAAUCACUUUUUUUCUGUAUCCUUCCACAAUCCUGUUGGUUACAGAUCACAGAUGGAUGGACAAGGUCAAUCCUCUCCACUUAGAAUAUCCAUUUACAUCUAAAUUAUGCUCCUUGCUUGCAUCCACACAAACUGUGGCCGCUUUUCAAAAGACAGAUUUUAUGCAAAAUGCCUUUUCAAUGACUCAAUAGUUGGUCAUAUUUGGGGUUUUGUUUGGGCCACUUAAGCAUUUUCGGUCACUUUAAACUCACGAAAAGAGUGAUAGUCCAAUCUCAGGACUUGAUAUUUGUUCAAUCUUUAUAAACUAUUCAGCAUUUUACAAAAUUAGGCAUUUUAUCUUGUGAGCUCCUCAAAUUCAUCUUGCAA